GGUGGUUUGUCGCGUCGUCUGUGAAAUCCCGGGGCUUAACUUCGGGCGUGCAGGCGAUACGGGCAUAACUUGAGUGCUGUAGGGGAGACUGGAAUUCCUGGUGUAGCGGUGAAAUGCGCAGAUAUCAGGAGGAACACCAAUGGCGAAGGCAGGUCUCUGGGCAGUAACUGACGCUGAGGAGCGAAAGCAUGGGUAGCGAACAGGAUUAGAUACCCUGGUAGUCCAUGCCGUAAACGGUGGGCGCUAGGUGUAGGGGUCUUCCACGACUUCUGUGCCGCAGCUAACGCAUUAAGCGCCCCGCCUGGGGAGUACGGCCGCAAGGCUAAAACUCAAAGGAAUUGACGGGGGCCCGCACAAGCGGCGGAGCAUGUGGAUUAAUUCGAUGCAACGCGAAGAACCUUACCUGGGCUUGACAUGGACCGGAUCGGCGUAGAGAUACGUUUUCCCUUGUGGUCGGUUCACAGGUGGUGCAUGGUUGUCGUCAGCUCGUGUCGUGAGAUGUUGGGUUAAGUCCCGCAACGAGCGCAGCCCUUGUCUUAUGUUGCCAGCACAUUAUGGUGGGUACUCAUGAGAGACUGCCGGGGUUAACUCGGAGGAAGGUGGGGAUGACGUCAAAUCAUCAUGCCCCUUAUGUCCAGGGCUUCACACAUGCUACAAUGGUCGGUACAGCGAGUUGCCACACCGUGAGGUGGAGCUAAUCUCUUAAAGCCGGCCUCAGUUCGGAUUGGGGUCUGCAACUCGACCCCAUGAAGUCGGAGUCGCUAGUAAUCGCAGAUCA
rnacentral:rRNA from 1 species